AUUGAACGCUGGCGGCAAGCCUUACACAUGCAAGUCGAACGGCAGCACGGGAGCUUGCUCCUGGUGGCGAGUGGCGAACGGGUGAGUAAUACAUCGGAACGUACCCAGUAGUGGGGGAUAACGCACCGAAAGGUUCGCUAAUACCGCAUACGACCUACGGGUGAAAGCGGGGGACCGUAAGGCCUCGCGCUAUUGGAGCGGCCGAUGUCUGAUUAGCUAGUUGGCGGGGUAAUAGCCCACCAAGGCGACGAUCAGUAGCUGGUCUGAGAGGACGAUCAGCCACACUGGGACUGAGACACGGCCCAGACUCCUACGGGAGGCAGCAGUGGGGAAUUUUGGACAAUGGGGGCAACCCUGAUCCAGCAAUGCCGCGUGUGCGAAGAAGGCCUUCGGGUUGUAAAGCACUUUUGUCAGGGAAGAAAUCUUUCAGGCUGAUACCCUUGGAAGGAUGACGGUACCUGAAGAAUAAGCACCGGCUAACUACGUGCCAGCCGCCGCAGUAA
rnacentral:rRNA from 1 species